GUUCUAUCCCAGGACCCUGAGAUCAUGACCUGAGCUGAAGUGCUAAAUUUUGGGGUGAACAAUUGAUAAUACACUCACCGAUUAUCUGCAGCUAUGCU